rnacentral:rRNA from 1 species
CAGGCCUAACACAUGCAAGUCGAGCGGACUUAUCCUUCGGGAUAGGUUAGCGGCGGACGGGUGAGUAACACGUAGGCAACCUGCCUGUAAGAUCGGGAUAACUACCGGAAACGGUAGCUAAGACCGGAUAGCUGGUUUCUCCGCAUGGGGGAAUCAUGAAACACGGGGCAACCUGUGGCUUACGGAUGGGCCUGCGGCGCAUUAGCUAGUUGGUGGGUAACGGCCCACCAAGGCGACGAUGCGUAGCCGACCUGAGAGGGUGAUCGGCCACACUGGGACUGAGACACGGCCCAGACUCCUACGGGAGGCAGCAGUAGGGAAUCUUCCGCAAUGGGCGCAAGCCUGACGGAGCAACGCCGCGUAAGUGAUGAAGGUUUUCGGAUCGUAAAGCUCUGUUGCCAAGGAAGAACGCCUCGGAGAGUAACUGCUCUGAGGGUGACGGUACUUGAGAAGAAAGCCCCGGCUAACUACGUGCCAGCAGCCGCGGUAAUACGUAGGGGGCAAGCGUUGUCCGGAAUUAUUGGGCGUAAAGCGCGCGCAGGCGGUCUUUUAAGUUUGGUGUUUAAGCCCGGGGCUCAACCCCGGUUCGCACUGAAAACUGGGAGACUUGAGUGCAGGAGAGGAAAGCGGAAUUCCACGUGUAGCGGUGAAAUGCGUAGAGAUGUGGAGGAACACCAGUGGCGAAGGCGGCUUUCUGGACUGUAACUGACGCUGAGGCGCGAAAGCGUGGGGAGCAAACAGGAUUAGAUA